GCCCUAAGUUAAUACCUUGCUGUUUUGACGUUACCAACGGAAUAAGCACCGGCUAACUUCGUGCCAGCAGCCGCGGUAAUACGAAGGGUGCAAGCGUUAAUCGGAAUUACUGGGCGUAAAGCGCGCGUAGGUGGUUCAGCAAGUUGGAUGUGAAAUCCCCGGGCUCAACCUGGGAACUGCAUCCAAAACUACUGAGCUAGAGUACGGUAGAGGGUGGUGGAAUUUCCUGUGUAGCGGUGAAAUGCGUAGAUAUAGGAAGGAACACCAGUGGCGAAGGCGACCACCUGGACUGAUACUGACACUGAGGUGCGAAAGCGUGGGGAGCAAACAGGAUUAGAUACCCCAGUAG
rnacentral:rRNA from 1 species